UAAGACUAUUUUUAAGAUUACAGAAAGAUUUUAUUGGCUAGGCAUAAAGAAAGAUGUCAUGAAAUGGAUAAGUGAAUGUGAUAAAUGUCAAAGAUCCCAGAAGAUAAAAACUGUAGGACAACUUUUGAAACCAAUUAAGACUGAAGGCCCUUGGCAGAUGGUUGGUGUAGACUUAAUAGGCCCCCUAACAGAGAGCCAAUCAGGCAACAAGUACAUCCUCACUUUGACAGAUUUAUGGUCCAAAUUCAUAGAGGCAUUUCCAUUCCCUUCAAAAUCUGCUGAUCUUGUUUGUGAUGUGUUACAGAGUAUUUUUUACCGUUUUGGUCCCCCAGAGAAAAUUUUAACUGAUCAGGGAAAGGAAUUCUGCAAUAGAUUAAAUGAUCAGCUCUUUUCCAUUUUUGGAGUAAAGCACUUAGUUACACUUGCAUACCACCCCCAGACUAAUGGUCAAGAUGAAAGAACCAACCAGAUGCUGAAGGCUGUUUUGACUAAAUUAGUCAAUGAAAAUCAAGAUGACUGGGACAGACAUUUAGAGGUUGCUUUAUUUGGUAUCAGAACUUCAGUGCAAGCUUCUACAAAGUAUUCCCCCUUUUUCUUGAUGUUUGGUAGACAGCCAAGACUGUUCAUUGAACUUCAAGAAAAUGAUAAUGAAGAAUCCAGUAUUUUAGAGUUCCCAAAUUUGAAUCCAUCUGAUGAUGCAAUAGAAUCUAGAAUCAACUCUAUCAAAGCUGUCAAAGAAAAAGUUGACAAUAAUAUUGCUGAAGCUCAAGCUAAACAAAAAAGUAUUAUGAAAUGAGGAAGACCAAAGGAUAUAAGUCAUUCAACUUCAAAAUUGGAAUGAAAGUUCUUAUAAAGAAUAAUAAAAAGCAAGGAAGGAAAGGUUCCCGGCUUGAGGAGGACUGGCUCGGACCUUAUGACAUACACAGUAUCUUAGAUAACUGUGUUCACAUUAAACCAUAUAAAUUGCCCAGUUUUGCACAGAAGCAUGCACAAGUUUGUGACCAAAUAUUGCUGCCAUCAGCUGCAAGAAAUGGUUCUCCCAUAUUUUCUGUCUUUUCAGAAUCCACGGCAUCUGGAGAGGAGCCUCAAGGCAACUCUUCCCCACCUACAGACCGUGGUGAUGUGGGGCAGCAGCCUGACAUGCUCCUUUCUAAAGGGUCACAGCAUGUCACAACAUUGCCCGUCACCACUGUUGAAUCCACGGCAUCUGGGGAGAAGCCUCGAGGCAACUCUUCCCCACCUACAGACCGUGGUGAUGUGAGGCAGCAGCCUGACAUGCUCCUUUCUAAAGGGUCACAGCAUGUCACAUCACUGCCCGUCACCACUGUUGAAUCCACGGCAUCUGGGGAGAAGCCCCAAGGCAACUCUUCCCCACCUACAGACCGUGGUGUGGGGCAGCAGCCUGACAUGCUCCUUUCUAAAGGGUCACAGCAUGUCACAUCACUGCCCAUCACCACUGUUGGUUACCAUAUGAGGAUGGUGACAGCAUGAUGGAAUGUGAUCGCUGCAAAAGGUGGUACCAUCAAGAGUGCGAGAACAUUUCAUCUUACCGUUGGCAGAAAUUGGAAGAAUCCAGCAUAGCAUACGUGUGCAGUGUGUGUCACCAAUCUUCAAGAACAAGGCGUGUUACAGAUUAUUGAUAAGUCACAAUUAUCACUGCAUGAAUUUCCUAGUUUUACUUGAUGGGAGUGACAAGAGUGGAAUCCCAGCACAGCACAGCCAGCAUGUCAGCCAUAAAGAGUAUCACCAAGGAAUGCAUAUCAAUAAAAGGGCUACAAAGUGUACUACAAGCCUACAACAAAAAUUAAAGAUAUAUCAAUCGAAAUAACAGCACAAAAUAAAUAGGUGGUCAUUCAUAAAGUCAGUCAAUCUUUUUUUAAAGUAUUGAAUCAGCUUCUGCCACAUAGAUGGGAAAUGAAUUCCAGUCUUUCACCACAGGAUCAUCAUACAAUCCUUACAAUCAUCAUAAAUUAUUGUAAGGAACAAAGAUUUUAUAAUGAUGUGCCA
rnacentral:misc_RNA from 1 species